rnacentral:tRNA from 1 species
GGGUCAGUAUAUCCAGUGGCGAAGAUAGCGGACUGUAACUCCGUGACAUUAGAAAACAUCGUUGGUUCGACUCCAACCUGGCUCA